rnacentral:tRNA from 1 species
GGCUCUGUGGCGCAAUGGAUAGCGCAUUGGACUUCUAAUUCAAAGGUUGUGGGUUCGAAUCCCAUCAGAGUCG